AUGGAAUUCAUAGGGAAAGGAGGUUGGGCGGCUCCUCGUCUUAAGGAUGCUGCUUUGUCGGAUGACAAGCUGCGUGGAGCUUACUUGGAGAUUGUUAUGAUAAUGAGGACACUUUACCAAAAGUGCAAGCUGGUCCAUGGCGAUUUGAGUGAAUAUAACAUUCUUUGUUUUGAGGGCCACUUACAUAUCAUUGAUGUUUCGCAAUCAAUUGACCUCGAUCACCCUUCGGCGUUGGACUUCUUAAAGGAAGAUUGUUUGCAUGUUUCUAACUUCUUUAAGAAACGAGGUGUUGGUGUCAUGACAGUAACAGAUCUAAUUAAUUUUGUGAUUGAUAGAAGCAUUGCGGAUGACGAUGUGGAUGAUUACCUAGAACAGGUUCAGCAAAAGAUGUUGGAGAAUGGAGAUAUACUCGCAAAUGAUGAUGAAAUAUCUCCAACAGUCAUGGUGCAGACGUUGGAUUACGUGAAGCAGUGUGAGGCUGAUAUAGUCAACAUGUCAAUGUUGCAACGCCCAUCCUUCUUGGGUUAUGAGCCACCAGCGGAUAAGCUUUAUAACCAGCCAUUGCUAGGAUUUGUGCGGGCUGAAAGAAACACGCGUAGUGAUGAAAAGCAGCAGCAAGAAGAGUUGCCACAUAACGCAGUGAAUGUGCAAAAUAAGUGGUCGUUGCAAAGUACUCCCAAGAUGGGACCUGAGGAGAGGAAGGCUGCUCGGAAGGAGAUGAAGAAGAAAAUGAAAGAAGAGAAGAGAGAAGCUCGGAAGACAAAGAGGCCAAAGGCCGUGAAGAAGAAGAAGAAGAAAAUGGCAAAAGCAAAGUGCACGCGGUAG
rnacentral:rRNA from 1 species